rnacentral:misc_RNA from 1 species
CUUUUCCUUGCUAAUUACGAUAUCCUCCGGCGUUUUGGAUUCACUCGCUCCCACCAACCAGUUGAAGGUUCGGUGAGAUGAGAAUCGCUGCCCAUCCCAAUUAUCAGCAAUUCCUACCAAACUGAGCCCCACAUUGCGCCACGUGUAAUACGUCCACUCCUGAUUUUUCUGAAACUCUUAUCAUUCUAGCCCUCUCUCAUAACAAACCGGAGGGCAACUACCUUUCCGGGGCGGAGAUUCCGUUGACUCGGAAGUUAAAAUGACCAUCUUACCCUUUCAGCGGUGUGAAUUGUUUAGUAUGAUAUAAUUUCUCUUAAACAAGAACCUUCUUUUUCUACUCUCAUCACUCGACUCAGUCCCUCACUCUCCCCCUGGACCUAAAAGCCUGUUAACCGAGAGUUAAACCAACAACCACCAACUUCAUGGCUCCUUCUUUUGUAACUAACGGCAGAGUUCCCACCUUCAAGUCCUCUCCGGCGACGGGCCGCGUCGCUUCUUUUUACAGUGAAGUGCAAGCGAGUCGGAUAGACCACGCCCUUCCUCUCCCUUCUGUCCUCAAAAACCGCUUCAAAAUCGUCGAAGGCUCCCCAAGCUCCGCGGCUGGCAAUCCAGGUCUUAUUUAUUGUUUCCAUUUUAAUUUUGAUCCGCUGUCAAUCAAUUGAUUCAGUGAAGUGAACUCAACAAAAUCUCCAGUCUCUCUCUCACUUUUUUGCCGGGAAAAUCGAGGGGACUAGGUUUUGAAUUUUGUUUCUAGAAGUGAAACUACAUUGUUGCUUUGCUAUUCCUGUAUAUUUUAAAAAUAUUUUUUUUAUAUGUAUUACGUGUUGCUUUUAGAUGAGAUCGCGAAGCUAUUUCCAAAUCUUUUUGGACAACCAUCGUCAAUGUUGGUGCCCAAUGGGGCUGAUUCAGUACCUUCGGAUCAGAAACUGAAGAUUGGUGUUGUUUUAUCUGGAGGUCAGGCUUCUGGUGGACACAAUGUGAUCUCUGGAAUCUUCGAUUACUUGCAGGACCGUGCGAAGGGAAGCAUAUUAUAUGGGUUUAGAGGUUGUCCUGCUGGGAUCAUGAAGUGCAAAUAUGUAGAAUUAACCGCUGAUUUUAUUUAUCCCUAUAGAAAUCAGGUAACUCUCUUCAGCGAAGCGAAUGUGUGAUUGGUUGAGUAAUCGGUACAAUUGAGGUAUAGUUAAUUGCACAAAGUGAAUGUUCAAAUAUUAAUUGGUUGGCAAUGUAUUUGUAACCACUAUUAUGAUAGUGUAGCUUUCCACAUUUUAAUUUAAAAGCUGUUUCCUCUGGAAAUUAACUUAGACUUAGUACUCAAUAAGUUACAAAAUGCAUAUUCAUCCUUUUUAGCUAUUUAUUUUUGUCAAGUCAGCCAUGCUUCUAUGAAGGGCUUAUCUGAAUUUGUUUUAAAUCCAAAAUUCAGGGUGGUUUUGAUAUGAUCUGCAGUGGAAGGGACAAAAUUGAGACACCCGAGCAGUUUAAACAAGCUGAAGAGACAGCAUUGAAACUCGAUUUGGAUGGACUAGUCGUUAUUGGUGGGGAUGACUCAAACACUAAUGCUUGCCUUCUUGCAGAAAACUUCAGGAGUAAAAAUAUGAAAACUAGGGUCAUUGGAUGCCCAAAGACCAUUGAUGGUGAUCUGAAAUGCAAAGAGGUCCCAACCAGUUUUGGAUUUGAUACUGCAUGCAAGGUGAUUAUGAUUAUGCAUUUUUCAUGCUAUAAAGAAUAUCUAGCAUAACUUUCUAUAUUUCACGGACAAAAAUUUGUAUGACUUUUUUGUGAGGGAAAAAAAUUGUUUCAAAUAUGUUAAUGUGAUUGGAUUCAUGUUGUCUACAUGAAACAGUCUCUUGUAGUAUUUUAAUGUAUUGUUAAUGAAUUUCAUUUUACCGAUGCAAAUCCUCUAGUACUUGUCCUUAUAAUUGAUUUAAUUUCUUUAAUCAUUGAUUGUCUUCAGCUACAUUCAUUUUGCUUUAUCCUUACUCAGUUUCGUUUCUGCAUUGUGUACAUGUCUCCAUCCUUGGACAAGCUAUAUGGGUUGCAGAAUGCACAGAUGAUUCUAGACUUUUCCAUUUUACAAACAUUUUUGUGAUCAUCUGAUUUUAAAAACAUUACUCUUAAAUUAUUUCCUGGUCUGUGAUGAAUUUGUUGCCAUACUGUAACCUAAAUGCAUUUUUAUCUACUGAUUUUUUUUACCUGCUAGGUUCUUUCUCCAGUGCUGUUGCAAGUAUUCGUAAAUUAAACAUGAUAACGUGUACAUGUACAUUAUUCUUUCUCUGGUUUCUAUUAUUGGUACACUGGGAAUUUUUUGCUAUCUGGAUUAGGUUACAACCACCCCAAUGCUACAGUGUCUGAUCUGCAAGUGUGACCUAUAUUAUCUACACGUUGCAAAAUAACCAUAAUAUAUUUGGUACAUGCAGAUAUAUUCAGAAAUGAUUGGAAAUGUCAUGAUUGAUGCUCGAUCAACUGGAAAAUAUUAUCACUGUAAGUGCAUAGGUUGGGCAAACUUGCAGAUAGCAUUCUUUUCUCCACUUGAUGAAUUUGAAGCUAAGCUAAUAUUAAGACUGGUUAUUAGAUAAUCAUGUUGGCAAACCAUCCUUUGUACAUAAUUAUUCAGAAUUUUAUAACUCUUCUUGAAUGCCAACUGCUUGAAUUUUGCCUCUUGUUGCCUGAAAUUCUCUAUAGAAACAGGAAAACUAACUUUUGACCUUUUUGAAAUUGUGUUACAUGUUCCCUCACCUAGAGGUACAUAUGAAAAUCAUGAAAUUCAAUUUUCUUAUGAAGUUGUGAAUAUUUUGCCUAGAUUCCAUAAUUGUCAACUUCUAUGGUUUACUUGACUAUCUUUCACUCCACACACAUCAACCUAUUUACACAUGCAAACACAAAUGUGUUUUGUACUGAACGAAUUGUAAAGAAUAACUACUUAUCAGUGCUAAUGUGUCUUCACUGCAGUUGUACGGCUUAUGGGGCGUGCAGCUUCACACAUUACCUUAGAGUGUGCUUUGCAAACUCAUCCAAAUAUUACAAUCAUUGGAGAAGAGGUUGCUGCAAAGAAGCUGACACUGAAAAAUGUUACUGACUACAUUGUAGAUAUAAUCUGUAAACGUGCUGAUCUGGGUUAUAACUAUGGUGUGAUCCUUAUACCUGAAGGUUUAAUUGAUUUCAUUCCUGAGGUGCAGCAUCUCAUUGCAGAACUGAAUGAAAUUUUGGCCCGUGAUGUUGUCGAUGAAGGUGGGCUAUGGAAAAAGAAACUUACAAGUCAAUCUUUGCAGCUUUUCGAAUUUCUGCCGCUAGCAAUUCGGGAACAAUUGAUGCUGGAAAGAGAUCCACAUGGAAACGUCCAGGUUGCCAAAAUAGAGACAGAGAAAAUGCUUAUUCAAAUGGUUGAAACUGAGUUGGAGAAGAGGAAGCAGCAAGGCUCAUACAAAGCCCAAUUCAAAGGACAGUCCCACUUCUUUGGUUAUGAAGGAAGAUGCGGUUUGCCAACAAACUUUGAUGCUACAUACUGCUAUGCGUUGGGCUAUGGAGCUGGAGCGCUCCUUCACAGUGGGAAAACUGGGCUGAUAUCAUCAGUCGGGAAUUUGGGUGCUCCUGUUGCAGAAUGGACAGUUGGUGGCACUGCACUGACUUCUAUGAUGGAUGUGGAGAGGAGACAUGGUUUGCUUUCUUCUUUCUAGAAUCCCUAUUCCAUUUUUUGUGCUGAUGAUAUAAUGGUUCUCGUUCCUUCUUUUUGAGAAUUACAAGACAUGUUAUAUAUUUGACACCGAUACUUGGGUAGUGUGCGUGAGUGGGAUCCUUUCAGUGCCUUUGCUAGUAGUUUUUUUCUUUGCUUGUAAAAUAAAAUGUUGUUUAUUCACCAUGGAGUAGUAAGGUUGAAUGUUAUCCAUGAGAAUGUAAGUUAAACUUGUAAGGUCUCCAAAACUUCCUUUGUUUGAGUGUUCAAGUAACAUUCUAGGAAUGCUAUUAUUAUAAAUUUGUUUGGGUGUUAUUUUUCAUUUAAUUGUUGCUGAAAUAAGUGUUUUUUUCCUUUUUCUUUCAUUUGGUAGGUAAAUUCAAGCCUGUAAUUAAAAAGGCCAUGGUGGAGCUUGAAGGUGCGCCAUUCAAAAAAUUUGCAUCCAUGCGGGAUGAGUGGGCCCUCAAGAAUCGAUAUAUUAGUCCUGGUCCCAUCCAAUUUAUGGGCCCAGGAUCCGACGCGGUUAAUCACACCUUAUUAUUGGAAUUGGGGGUUCAUGCUUAGGCGUAUGCAUGGGAUUGUGGCUUCCCACCAGCGCAAAAUCUUCUUUUUUGUUGCUUUUUGUUUCCCCUUUUUCCCAUUUCCGGUUAUUAUCGCUGUUGUUUUCUGAGUGUAGGAUUCUGGCAUUUCAGUGUGGUUAAGGUGUACUACACCAAUCGGCUGGACUUGUAUAUUGAAGUUUCUAAUCGUCGUCCUUCGUGUCAAUUGAAUAAACAGCGCUCUUGAAAAUAUGCAAAAUCAGGAAAAGAUACAAGCAAGUUGACUAUUCGCUUUCCAUGAAGGAAAAGAUACAAGCAAGUUGAAAGGGAAAUAGCAUCAGUCAUCACAUGAAGGAAAGAUACAAAAUUGGCAAGCGUCAAGCUCUCCAAGCUAAUGAAAACAAUAAAAAAACCAAGGGGAAACUGUAAGACAAUUGCUCCAAAUUUCAGAACUCAUAUGAAGAACUUUUGUCCAAAUUACCAAAUUUCUGAUAAGCAGAUGACGGGAAGCACUAUAUCAAUCACCUUUAUCUUAAUUAAUGAUAUGGUAAUUUCAGAGAUGAAUCUUAAUUAGACGGUUUCGAAAAUGAAAUACGCUGUUAUUCAUCCAUCAUUGCUUUAAAGGGUCACUAUUCUAUACGCUAUGGUUUGUUGAAUGAAAGAGACUCUCCACCAAC